rnacentral:rRNA from 1 species
AUUGAACGCUGGCGGCAUGCCUUACACAUGCAAGUCGAACGGCAGCACGGGGCAACCUGGUGGCGAGUGGCGAACGGGUGAGUAAUGCAUCGGAACGUGCCAUUGAGUGGGGGAUAACGUAGCGAAAGUUGCGCUAAUACCGCAUAUUCUGUGAGCAGGAAAGCAGGGGACCGCAAGGCCUUGCGCUCUUUGAGCGGCCGAUGUCAGAUUAGCUAGUUGGUGAGGUAACGGCUUACCAAGGCGACGAUCUGUAGCGGGUCUGAGAGGAUGAUCCGCCACACUGGAACUGAGACACGGUCCAGACUCCUACGGGAGGCAGCAGGUGGGAAUUUGGACAAGUGGGCGCAAGCCUGAUCCAGCCAUGCCGCGUGAGUGAA